UGCGCCUUGCCAGCCCGCUCAGAAACUUAAAGGAAUUGACGGGGGCCCGCACAAGCGGUGGAGCAUGUGGUUUAAUUCGAUGAUACGCGAGGAACCUUACCUGGGCUCAAAUGUAUGUUGACGUAUUCUGAAAGGGAUACUUCUUCGGACAAUAUACAAGGUGCUGCAUGGUUGUCGUCAGCUCGUGCCGUGAGGUGUCGGGUUAAGUCCCAUAACGAGCGCAACCCCUAUCGUUAGUUGCCAUCAGGUCAAGCUGGGGACUCUAAUGAAACUGCCUACGCAAGUAGUGAGGAAGGUGGGGAUGACGUCAAAUCAGCACGGCCCUUACGUCCAGGGCUACACACGUGCUACAAUGGCCGGUACAAAGGGCAGCUACCUGGUGACAGGAUGCUAAUCUCAAAAGCCGGUCUCAGUUCGGAUCGGAGUCUGCAACCCGACUCCGUGAAGCUGAAAUCGCUAGUAAUCGUGAAUCAGAAUGUCACGGUGAAUACGUUCCCGGGCCUU
rnacentral:rRNA from 1 species